UAAGGAUAGGGUAAUCUGCAUCCUGAGGUUUAGAACAAUAGUUGGUUAAUUUCCUUAAAAAGAAAAUAGUCGCGUAAUUGUUUCUAAGCCUUGGAGUGCAGAUUAUCUUUUCCUUA
rnacentral:pre_miRNA from 1 species